GCCUUCUUAGCCAAGUGGUUACGGCGGAAGUUUUAAGCAUAGACGCUCAUGCACUUUUGCAGAAAUGCAUCGUGGGUUCGAACCCCACAGAAGGCA